rnacentral:rRNA from 1 species
UACGAAGGGGGCUAGCGUUGUUCGGAAUCACUGGGCGUAAAGCGCACGUAGGCGGACCAUUAAGUCAGGGGUGAAAGCCUGGAGCUCAACUCCAGAACUGCCUUUGAUACUGAUGGUCUCGAGUGUGGAAGAGGUUGGUGGAACUGCGAGUGUAGAGGUGAAAUUCGUAGAUAUUCGCAAGAACACCAGUGGCGAAGGCGGCCAACUGGUCCAUUACUGACGCUGAGGUGCGAAAGCGUGGGGAGCAAAC